rnacentral:rRNA from 1 species
CAGCAGCCGCCGCGGUAAUACGUAGGUGGCAAGCGUUGUCCGGAAUUAUUGGGCGUAAAGGGCUCGCAGGCGGUUUCUUAAGUCUGAUGUGAAAGCCCCCGGCUCAACCGGGGAGGGUCAUUGGAAACUGGGAAACUUGAGUGCAGAAGAGGAGAGUGGAAUUCCACGUGUAGCGGUGAAAUGCGUAGAGAUGUGGAGGAACACCAAUGGCGAAGGCAGCUUCUUGGUCCAUUCCUGACGUUCAUACACGAAAGCGUGGGGAGCAAACAGGAUUAGAUACCCGCGUAGUCCCUGUCUCUUAUAC